rnacentral:miRNA from 1 species
GAGUAACUCAUCCUCGUCCCCAGGGCCACGCUCGUUGCUCUCGCUCAGUGGGAGCAACGAGCGUGGCCCUGGGGAUGAGGGUGUUGAGUAAC